rnacentral:rRNA from 1 species
GCAGCAGCCGCGGUAAUACGAAGGGGGCUAGCGUUGUUCGGAUUUACUGGGCGUAAAGCGCACGUAGGCGGACUUUUAAGUCAGGGGUGAAAUCCCGGGGCUCAACCCCGGAACUGCCUUUGAUACUGGAAGUCUUGAGUAUGGUAGAGGUGAGUGGAAUUCCGAGUGUAGAGGUGAAAUUCGUAGAUAUUCGGAGGAACACCAGUGGCGAAGGCGGCUCACUGGACCAUUACUGACGCUGAGGUGCGAAAGCGUGGGGAGCAAACAGGAUUAGAUACCCGAGUAGUCCCUGUCUCUUAUAC